ACGCAAUGAAAGAAAGAAAGAAAGCAAGAAAGGGAAAAGAUGUCAUCAAUGUGUAUGUUUGCUGUA
rnacentral:ribozyme from 15 species